AUUGAACGCUGGCGGCAGGCCUAACACAUGCAAGUCGAGCGCGAGGCGGACGGGUGAGUAAUGUAUCGGGACUCCCCGUUAGGGGGGGAUAACUCCUGGAAACGGUAGCUAAUACCGCACACUCUCUGAUAACCCCUAUGGGAUUAGCUAGUAGGUGGGGUAAUGGCUCACCUAGGCGACGAUCCCUAGCUGGUCUGAGAGGAUGAUCAGCCACACUGGGACUGAGACACGGCCCAGACUCCUACGGAGGCAGCAGUGGGGAAUAUUGCACAAUGGGCGCAAGCCUGAUGCAGCCAUGCCGCGUGUAUGAAGAAGGCCCUAGGGUUGUAAAGUACUUUCAGUCGGGAGGCGUUACCGACAGAAGAAGCACCGGCUAACUCCGUGCCAGCAGCCGCGGUAAUUC
rnacentral:rRNA from 1 species